rnacentral:rRNA from 1 species
UACAGGGGGGGCAAGCGUUGUUCGGAAUUACUGGGCGUAAAGGGCCAGUAGGCGGCCAACUAAGUCACACGUGAAAUCCCGAGGCUUAACCUCGGAACUGCUUUCAAAACUUGUAAACUAGAGUACGAUAGAGGAUGGUGGAAUUCCUAGUGUAGAGGUGAAAUUCUUAGAUAUUAGGAGGAACACCGGUGGCGAAGGCGGCCAAUCUGGGUCGUAACUGACGCUGAGGCGGCGAAAAGCG